rnacentral:pre_miRNA from 1 species
AAGAAGACCAUAGACACGCACUGCCACAGGCGUACCACAUUUCGGUGCGAUAGACAGGUGUGCGCGUAUGCGUUUUCAAGUGC